rnacentral:lncRNA from 1 species
GGUAAACUUCGGUGCUACUAGGCAUGUUUGUGGAAACAAAAGUGUUCUUACCUCUUAGAGUAAUGUAGAGGAUGGAAAAGAACACGUAUUAUGAUAAAUCUAGGAAAACCUAUCAUAAUAGGUCUUAUUAUGACGGUUAAUUUCUCACCUGUCACAAUACAUUAAACGUGAUUACCUUUUAAUAAUAAAAUUCAAAACUUAUUAUGACAAGUUCUAACACCACCAGUAAUAAAAUAUGAAUCCCUAAUUUCUCUUUAUUUUCGAACUCUGAUUAAUAUGUCCUCACUCUCUUUUUCUCAGUUCUUAUUUGUUCGUCUCUUUCAUGUUAUUCCUUG